CGUACGGGUGAGUAACACGUGGAUCAUCUACCUCUUUGUGGGGGAUAACUCUGGGAAACCGGAGCUAAUACCGCAUAAGCUCGAGAGAGGAAAGUAGCAAUACGCAGAGAGAGGAGUCCGCGGCCGAUUAGCUAGUUGGCGGGGUAAUGGCCCACCAAGGCGAUGAUCGGUAGCCGGCCUGAGAGGGCACACGGCCACACUGGCACUGAAACACGGGCCAG
rnacentral:rRNA from 1 species